UAUGGCCAGCAUUUAUUAAGAAGUUCAUUUUUAUCACAUUUGAUAUGAUGCCUUUAACUCAUAGUAAAUAUUCUAUUGCUUUUGAGUGUAUUUCUUAACUUCCUACUUUUUUCUGUUGUCUUGUCUGUCCAUACAUGGACAGACCCACAUCAUCUUCCUUCCCUUUAUUUGUAAUGGGUUUUACUUUUAAUACAACUCGUUUCUCUUCAUGGCUUUUUAUUUCCUAGACCUAGUCUUACUUGUUUAUUUUUUCAUGUGAAUUUCAUUUUUUUCCAGCCUCAUUGAGAUAUAAUUGACAUAAAACAUUGUAUAAAUUUAAGGUAUACUUUGUGUUGAUUGGAUCCAUUUAUAUAUUGCAAAAUGAUUACCACCAUUACAUUAGCCAACACCUCCGUCCAGUCACAUAAUUACCAUUUCUUUUUUGUGGUAAGGACAUUUAAGAUCUACUCUUUCAUCAACUUUCAAGUAUAUUAGACAGUAUUAUUAGCUAUAUCAUAACUUCAGAAUCAGCUUCUGUGAUUCCAGAAAAAUGAUCUGUGUGUACGUUAAUUUGGUCGUAAUAUAUUUUAAAAAUUAACUAUGGAAGAAUUGGCAUCUUGAUGUUGAGUCUAAGAACGUGUUACAUCUUUGUGUUCAAGUUUACUUUUGUGGCUUCAAAAAAUGUUUAAAUUUGUUUACGUGGUUUUCCUGUUAAGCUUGCUCCUGAGUUCAUUAUUUUAUUUGUCUAACUCGGGGAUAGACAGAUUACAGGCCCACUGUCUGUUUUUGAAUGGCCCAUGAUGUAAAAAUAGUUUUUACCUUUUUGAUUGUUAAAAAAAAUGUUUUAAAAAGUAAAACUUUGUGACACAUGAAAAAUUAUUUGAAAUCCAAGUUUCAGUGUCUGUAAUAAAGUUUAUUGCAACAGCCACACCCAUUCCUUUAUGUAUUAUCUAUGGGCUCCUUUCUUGCUAUGAAGGCUGAGUGGAGCAGUUGUGAUGAAGACCGUAUGGCUCACGAAGCCUAAAAUGUUUGCUCUUUGGCCCAUUACAGGAAGUGUCUGCUGACCUCUGCUCCGAGUGGUGGUGGUUUUAAGGCAUGCUUAUGUCCUCCGAGUUUGUCACUCAUGACUCGCCUGGUACUACAUUCAAGACAAUUCAGAAUUUAACUGACGUUGAGGGAAAAUCAACAGAAAGACAGCCCGGAAGUUUCCAGUCAAAUUUGCUUUCUUCCAUUGGAAUCAUUCCUUGUGAGAGGGGCAGAAGCUUCUUUGGAGAAAGAAGGGAAAGAUUCAGACUGCCUAGCCACGUAAUCUUACUGAGGAGAAAUGACAACACAGAACUGCCACCCCACCACAUUUUGUGUCGUCAGUUUGUGGCCUGUAGGUGGAGCCAUCUGAGUUUUCAUGAGCCACAGGCCUCGAGUCAGCAUUACCUUACUGGGAGGACUGACUCUGUCUUCACUUUGUGUCAAGGUUUCACCCAGUCUGCUCUGCUCUUUGUGAAGGCUUGUGCAUCGCUGACAGCUGGCUGUCCCUGUGUCCUCCCUGACGACAUGUCGUCUUCUCCCACGUCAGCUCCUACUUCUCAUUGAAUGAGUUGGAAUUGCAGGUCCCAACCUUGUUCGUAUUAGUAGAAUGUUAAUGAAGAUCUGGAACAGAGCAGAUGUGUUAGUUUGGCCUAAAUAUGUCCAUCUCUGUUUAUGACAGCUCGUAAAGGUUUGUAACAAGACUUAAUUCUACUAGAAUUUGUUCCAUGAUCUUGAGAUGACCCAAUCUGGAAGAAAUACCGUUUUUCUCUAUUGAGUCUCCAAAAGCC